ensembl:lncRNA
AGGGAGACAGGUGAGUACACAGGUAGAUGGGUUGAUGGGUAAGUAGAUAGGGAGACAGGUGAGUAGACAGGUAGGUGGGUAGAUGGGUAAGUAGAUAGGGAGACAGGUGAGUAGACAGGUAGGCGGGUUGAUGGGUAAGUACGUAGGGAGACAGGUGAGUAGACUGGUUGGUAGACAGUCAGACAAACAUGUAGAGAGGUAGGUAAGUAGACAGGCAAAACAGACAGGUAGGCAGCUAGACAGGUAGGUAGAUAGGGGGGAAGAAACAGACAUACAGGGAGGUAGGUUGGUAAACAGGUAAGUAGUUAUGUAUGUAGAAGUAUGUAGAAGUAAGUAGGUAGGGAGACAUAUGGGGAGACAAGUGGAUAGACAGCUAAGUUAGGAAGAUGUGUAUGUAAACAGGUAAAUAGUUGGUUAAACAGGUACAGUAAGUACACAGACAAGUGGGGAGACUGGUGGCUAGAAAGGUAGACGGGUGUGCGGACAUGUAGGAAGGUAGACGGGUAGGUAGACAGGUUGGUGGAUAGACAGACAGACAGGAAA